AAAGAAAUGGAAUGCUGAUAGUGCUACAACUUGGAUGAACCUUGAAAACGUUAUGCUACAUGAAAGAAGUUAGUUACAAAGGCCACAUAUUGUAUGAUCUCACUCAUGUGAAUAAAGAAACCUAUCGGGCAGAAAAUAGUGAUAUUUUUUAAGAGCCAGGAGGCAUAUAAAUGUUCUCAGGCCACCAUCUUGAACCAAGAGGUAUCAGAACCAAGAAAAGUGUUAAAUGAUAAAGUAACUGUUCCUUGAACACAAGCACUGCCAUACCAGAAAGUCGAUGUGAUCGCAGAAAGGGCGGCUAAGUGACUCACAGGUGAAAAGCUGUUACAGCGUGGAUCUGCUGGACAAAGGGAAGAUUCAUGUCCUGAGAGGGACGGAACCUGACGGCCCAAGAUUUCAUCACACUACUCAGAACUGCAGGCAAGUUAAAACUUACGCAUUGUUUAUUUCUGGAAUUUUCCGUUUAGUAUUUUCGGCACAGGGUUGAUGGCAGGUAACAAACCAUGGAAACUGAAACUGUGGAUAAAGGGUGACUACCGUACCACACUGAUGUGAUGAACAUAUAGUGCGUUCCAAUAUCUGGUAAGUAAGUCCGCUCUCAAUUUUUUUAUCUUCAUAACUUUAUUAUCUUUUCUAA
rnacentral:lncRNA from 1 species